rnacentral:tRNA from 1 species
CGGACCUAUAGUCUAAUGGAUAGGACACGGCCCUGCGGAGGCCGAAAUCCGGGUUCGAGCCCCGGUAGGUUCGU